GGUCGCGGAUCCCGCGUCCCGACCGGUUGCUCAGCCUGAAUUUGGAAGUGAAACACCGGGCCGGGCCGCCUGCGAUCCCUCCUCCCGAAGGCUGUGAACUCUUAGGAUGGGCGCCCAGUUCCGCAAUUCAACAAGUCUUUAGGAGUAUUUUACUACAUACAGCGGUAACGUUUAACUGCUAUGACCAUACCAGUGGAAAAAGUACACACACUGAGACGAUGUUCGGUGAGAUCCAUUGUCUAGAAUUACUUUCUCAUUUUUAUCUGCGCAAGUAAUUCUAUAGAAUUAAAUAUAGCCGAUGGUGGUGAUUAACUCGGCCAGUCAGAAUUCGAACAAAUUAAACUAAAAAAGGUAUUUCAUCAAAGCAGUGUUUCUCAUGUAAACUCAGAGUGUAAAUAGCGUUUCCAGGCACUGACCCCCAAUUUUAAUCCUCAUAAAAAGUAUUAAAGAAUAUACAGUUGAUUCGAUUAGAGUCAUACAUUUAAAAUCAGAUGACUGAUUAAUCAAUAUUUGAGCAAUUUUUCAUGGAUGUUUCCUUUUUGUAUAUUCCCUGUGGAGGGGGAUUGGUUUUGUUUUUUUUUUCUCAAUAAGGCACUCUGUUAAAACUGGUUUAGAGAUAUUUGCACCAUUAGAACCUCUAAAGGAUAAAAACUCUUCUAUGUUUGUAUUUCUUUAUUCAGAUACAAAAAUAAUUGAAACAUUUUCUAUAAUUUAGAUAUCUUAAUCCAAAUUUGGAAUUAAGAUUUUUAAAUCCCUGCUAAUAUUUUAGGUAAACACCCAUGUCAUUAAAGGAAAUGUAAAAUUUGCAACAAUGCAGUAAACUGUGUUUCCUAUCAAAUUUAAGUGUACUGAAGAAUUACUGCGUGACUAGCAUUUAAAAAUAUUAGUUGAAUUUAACAGAUUGCUCAGAAUUUUUAUUUUCUUCUCCCAAAAAACAGAAAUUGUUCCACUUGUCUCACCAAACAUAUGAGAUGAAUAACUUCUCUGCAAUAGAGACAAAUGCUACCAUUAAACCAAUAAGAAAUACAAGCAUCAAAAUACCUGAUGAGUUGGUGAGAUAAGUGCUUUUGUAAAAAUGAUUUUUCAAAAUGGGCCUUGGGCAAUAUGUUUCAUAAAAAACAUUUGGUUAUCUUUUUACACCUUCUUCUAGAGCCAGCCAUUUGGGUUUGACAUGAAUUAAUCCAUUUUAAUGCAAAAGACUGCAUUAAACAGAAAAAAAAAAAAAGCUGCAAAAGACAAAUGGUUCCAAAUUUCAGGC